rnacentral:rRNA from 1 species
AGAGUUUGAUCCUGGCUCAGAACGAACGCUGGCGGCAUGCCUAAUACAUGCAAGUCGAACGAGAUCUUCGGAUCUAGUGGCGCACAGGUGCGUAACGCGUGGGAAUCUGCCCUUGGGUUCGGAAUAACUUCUGGAAACGGAAGCUAAUACCGGAUGAUGACGUAAGUCCAAAGAUUUAUCGCCCAAGGAUGAGCCCGCGUCUGAUUAGCUAGUUGGUGAGGUAAAGGCUCACCAAGGCGACGAUCAGUAGCUGGUCUGAGAGGAUGAUCAGCCACAUUGGGACUGAGACACGGCCCAAACUCCUACGGGAGGCAGCAGUGGGGAAUCUUGCGCAAUGGGCGAAAGCCUGACGCAGCCAUGCCGCGUGAAUGAUGAAGGUCUUAGGAUUGUAAAAUUCUUUCACCGGGGACGAUAAUGACGGUACCCGGAGAAGAAGCCCCGGCUAACUUCGUGCCAGCAGCCGCGGUAAUACGAAGGGGGCUAGCGUUGCUCGGAAUUACUGGGCGUAAAGGGAGCGUAGGCGGACUGUUUAGUCAGAGGUGAAAGCCCAGGGCUCAACCUUGGAAUUGCCUUUGAUACUGGCAGUCUUGAGUACGGAAGAGGUAUGUGGAACUCCGAGUGUAGCGGUGAAAUUCGUAGAUAUUCGGAAGAACACCAGUGGCGAAGGCGACAUACUGGUCCGUUACUGACGCUGAGGCUCGAAAGCGUGGGGAGCAAACAGGAUUAGAUACCCUGGUAGUCC